GGUUAAGCGACUAAGCGUACACGGUGGAUGCCCUGGCAGUCAGAGGCGAUGAAGGACGUGCUAAUCUGCGAAAAGCGCCGGCGAGGUGAUAUGAACCCUUGACCCGGCGAUGUCCGAAUGGGGAAACCCAGUGUGAUUCGUCACACUAUCGUUAACUGAAUACAUAGGUUAACGAGGCGAACCGGGGGAACUGAAACAUCUAAGUACCCCGAGGAAAAGAAAUCAACCGAGAUUCCCCCAGUAGCGGCGAGCGAACGGGGAGCAGCCCAGAGUCUGAAUCAGCUUGUGUGUUAGUGGAAGCGUCUGGAAAGUCGCACGGUACAGGGUGACAGUCCCGUACACGAAAAUGCACAGGUUGUGAACUCGAAGAGUAGGGCGGGACACGUGGUAUCCUGUCUGAAUAUGGGGGGACCAUCCUCCAAGGCUAAAUACUCCUGACUGACCGAUAGUGAACCAGUACCGUGAGGGAAAGGCGAAAAGAACCCCGGCGAGGGGAGUGAAAAAGAACCUGAAACCGUGUACGUACAAGCAGUGGGAGCACCUUCGUGGUGUGACUGCGUACCUUUUGUAUAAUGGGUCAGCGACUUAUAUUCUGUAGCAAGGUUAACCGUAUAGGGGAGCCGAAGGGAAACCGAGUCUUAACUGGGCGUUAAGUUGCAGGGUAUAGACCCGAAACCCGGUGAUCUAGCCAUGGGCAGGUUGAAGGUUGGGUAACACUAACUGGAGGACCGAACCGACUAAUGUUGAAAAAUUAGCGGAUGACUUGUGGCUGGGGGUGAAAGGCCAAUCAAACCGGGAGAUAGCUGGUUCUCCCCGAAAGCUAUUUAGGUAGCGCCUCGUGAAUUCAUCUUCGGGGGUAGAGCACUGUUUCGGCUAGGGGGCCAUCCCGGCUUACCAACCCGAUGCAAACUACGAAUACCGAAGAAUGUUAUCACGGGAGACACACGGCGGGUGCUAACGUCCGUCGUGAAGAGGGAAACAACCCAGACCGCCAGCUAAGGUCCCAAAGUCAUGGUUAAGUGGGAAACGAUGUGGGAAGGCCCAGACAGCCAGGAUGUUGGCUUAGAAGCAGCCAUCAUUUAAAGAAAGCGUAAUAGCUCACUGGUCGAGUCGGCCUGCGCGGAAGAUGUAACGGGGCUAAACCAUGCACCGAAGCUGCGGCAGCGACACUAUGUGUUGUUGGGUAGGGGAGCGUUCUGUAAGCCGUUGAAGGUGGCCUGUGAGGGUUGCUGGAGGUAUCAGAAGUGCGAAUGCUGACAUAAGUAACGAUAAAGCGGGUGAAAAGCCCGCUCGCCGGAAGACCAAGGGUUCCUGUCCAACGUUAAUCGGGGCAGGGUGAGUCGACCCCUAAGGCGAGGCCGAAAGGCGUAGUCGAUGGGAAACAGGUUAAUAUUCCUGUACUUGGUGUUACUGCGAAGGGGGGACGGAGAAGGCUAUGUUAGCCGGGCGACGGUUGUCCCGGUUUAAGCAUGUAGGCGGAGGUUCCAGGUAAAUCCGGUACCUUUUUAACGCUGAGGUGUGAUGACGAGGCACUACGGUGCUGAAGUAACAAAUGCCCUGCUUCCAGGAAAAGCCUCUAAGCAUCAGGUAACACGAAAUCGUACCCCAAACCGACACAGGUGGUCAGGUAGAGAAUACCAAGGCGCUUGAGAGAACUCGGGUGAAGGAACUAGGCAAAAUGGUGCCGUAACUUCGGGAGAAGGCACGCUGAUAUGUAGGUGAAGCCCCUGCGGGUGGAGCUGAAAUCAGUCGAAGAUACCAGCUGGCUGCAACUGUUUAUUAAAAACACAGCACUGUGCAAACACGAAAGUGGACGUAUACGGUGUGACGCCUGCCCGGUGCCGGAAGGUUAAUUGAUGGGGUUAGCGGUAACGCGAAGCUCUUGAUCGAAGCCCCGGUAAACGGCGGCCGUAACUAUAACGGUCCUAAGGUAGCGAAAUUCCUUGUCGGGUAAGUUCCGACCUGCACGAAUGGCGUAAUGAUGGCCAGGCUGUCUCCACCCGAGACUCAGUGAAAUUGAACUCGCUGUGAAGAUGCAGUGUACCCGCGGCAAGACGGAAAGACCCCGUGAACCUUUACUAUAGCUUGACACUGAACACUGGUCCUUGAUGUGUAGGAUAGGUGGGAGGCUUUGAAGCGUGGACGCCAGUCUGCGUGGAGCCGCCCUUGAAAUACCACCCUUUAAUGGCUGGUGUUCUAACGUAGACCCGUAAUCCGGGUUGCGGACAGUGUCUGGUGGGUAGUUUGACUGGGGCGGUCUCCUCCCAAAGAGUAACGGAGGAGCACGAAGGUUAGCUAAUCCUGGUCGGACAUCAGGAGGUUAGUGCAAUGGCAUAAGCUAGCUUGACUGCGAGAGUGACGGCUCGAGCAGGUGCGAAAGCAGGUCAUAGUGAUCCGGUGGUUCUGAAUGGAAGGGCCAUCGCUCAACGGAUAAAAGGUACUCCGGGGAUAACAGGCUGAUACCGCCCAAGAGUUCAUAUCGACGGCGGUGUUUGGCACCUCGAUGUCGGCUCAUCACAUCCUGGGGCUGAAGUAGGUCCCAAGGGUAUGGCUGUUCGCCAUUUAAAGUGGUACGCGAGCUGGGUUUAGAACGUCGUGAGACAGUUCGGUCCCUAUCUGCCGUGGGCGCUGGAGAAUUGAGGGGGGCUGCUCCUAGUACGAGAGGACCGGAGUGGACGCAUCACUGGUGUUCGGGUUGUCAUGCCAAUGGCACUGCCCGGUAGCUAAAUGCGGAAGAGAUAAGUGCUGAAAGCAUCUAAGCACGAAACUUGCCCCGAGAUGAGUUCUCCCUGAGACUUAAAGUCUCCUGAAGGAACGUUGAAGACGACGACGUUGAUAGGUCGGGUGUGUAAGCGCAGCGAUGCGUUGAGCUAACCGAUACUAAUGAACCGUGAGGCUUAACCUU
rnacentral:rRNA from 1 species